CAGCCGCCGCGGUAAUACCGGCGGCCCGAGUGGCGGUCACUAUUAUUGGGCUUAAAGCGUCCGUAGCCGGGUUGGGAAGUCCUCCGGGAAAUCUGGCCGCUUAACGGUCAGAAUGCCGGAGGAUACUCCCAGCCUAGGGAGCGGGGGAGGCCGAGGGUAUUCCCGGAGUAGGGGUGAAAUCCUAUAAUCCCGGGAGGACCACCUGUGGCGAAGGCGCUCGGCUGGAACGCGUCCGACGGUGAGGGACGAAGGCCAGGGGAGCAAACCGGAUUAGAUACCCGGGUAGUCCUGGCUGUAAACGAUGCGGACUUUGUGUCGGACAAGCGAUGAGCUUGUCCGGUGCCGGAGGGAAACCGUUAAGUCCGCCGCCUGGGGAGUACGGCCGCAAGGCUGAAACUUAAAGGAAUGGCGGG
rnacentral:rRNA from 1 species